UACGUAGGGUGCAAGCGUUAAUCGGAAUUACUGGGCGUAAAGCGUGCGCAGGCGGUUCGCCAAGUCAGGUGUGAAAUCCCCGGGCUUAACCUGGGAAUUGCGCUUGAAACUAGCGGGCUUGAGUGUGGCAGAGGGGGGGUGGGAAUUCCACGUGUAGCAGUGAAAUGCGUAGAGAUGUGGAGGAACACCGAUGGCGAAGGCAGCCCCCCUGGGGUCAACACUGACGCUCAUGCACGAAAGCGUGGGGAGCAAACAGG
rnacentral:rRNA from 1 species